GACGAACGCUGGCGGCGUGCUUAACACAUGCAAGUCGAACGGAAAGGCCCUGCUUUUGUGGGGUGCUCGAGUGGCGAACGGGUGAGUAACACGUGAGUAACCUGCCCUUGACUUUGGGAUAACUUCAGGAAACUGGGGCUAAUACCGGAUAGGAGCUCCUGCUGCAUGGUGGGGGUUGGAAAGUUUCGGCGGUUGGGGAUGGACUCGCGGCUUAUCAGCUUGUUGGUGGGGUAGUGGCUUACCAAGGCUUUGACGGGUAGCCGGCCUGAGAGGGUGACCGGCCACAUUGGGACUGAGAUACGGCCCAGACUGCUACGGGAGGCAGCGGUGGGGAAUAUUGCACAAUGGGGGGAAGCCUGAUGCAGCAACGCCGCGUGCGGGAUGACGGCCUUCGGGUUGUAAACCGCUUUCGCCUGUGACGAAGCGUGAGUGACGGUAAUGGGUAAAGAAGCACCGGCUAACUACGUG
rnacentral:rRNA from 1 species